UGCAGUCGGACGGUAGCACAGGGGAGCUUGCUCUCCGGGUGACGAGUGGCGGACGGGUGAGUAAUGUCUGGGAAACUGCCCGGUGGAGGGGGAUAACUACUGGAAACGGUAGCUAAUACCGCAUAACGUCUUCGGACCAAAGUGGGGGAUCUUCGGACCUCACGCCACCGGAUGUGCCCAGAUGGGAUUAGCUAGUAGGUGGGGUAACGGCUCACCUAGGCGACGAUCCCUAGCUGGUCUGAGAGGAUGACCAGCCACACUGGAACUGAGACACGGUCCAGACUCCUACGGGAGGCAGCAGUGGGGAAUAUUGCACAAUGGGCGCAAGCCUGAUGCAGCCAUGCCGCGUGUAUGAAGAAGGCCUUCGGGUUGUAAAGUACUUUCAGCGGGGAGGAAGGCGGUGAGGUUAAUAACCUCGCCGAUUGACGUUACCCGCAGAAGAAGCACCGGCUAACUCCGUGCCAGCAGCCGCGGUAAUACGGAGGGUGCAAGCGUUAAUCGGAAUUACUGGGCGUAAAGCGCACGCAGGCGGUCUGUUAAGUCAGAUGUGAAAUCCCCGGGCUUAACCUGGGAACUGCAUUUGAAACUGGCAGGCUUGAGUCUCGUAGAGGGGGGUAGAAUUCCAGGUGUAGCGGUGAAAUGCGUAGAGAUCUGGAGGAAUACCGGUGGCGAAGGCGGCCCCCUGGACGAAGACUGACGCUCAGGUGCGAAAGCGUGGGGAGCAAACAGGAUUAGAUACCCUG
rnacentral:rRNA from 2 species